GCCUGGGUGGCUCAGUCAGUAAAGCAUCUGACUUUGGUUCAGGUCAUGAUCUCACGGCUUGUGAGUUCAAGCCCCAGGCU
rnacentral:tRNA from 1 species